rnacentral:misc_RNA from 1 species
AAGUAAAAGUCGUAACAAGGUUUCCGUAGGUGAACCUGCGGAAGGAUCAUUAUUGAAUUAUAAGGCUUUGAUUGUGCUGGCCUCUCGGGGCAUGUGCACGUCUCUGCCCGUUAAUCCCAACCCACCCCUGUGAACCGACCGUGUGAGGCGCUCUGUAACGGAGCCGUCUCAUGCUUUAUCAUAAACACUGUAUGUCUUUGAAUGUAAAAUCUAUAUCUUCGUCUUAAAACCGCGUCGAUAAAAAAAGUUAAUAUAACUUUCAACAACGGAUCUCUUGGCUCUAGCAUCGAUGAAGAACGCAGCGAAAUGCGAUAAGUAAUGUGAAUUGCAGAUUUUCAGUGAAUCAUCGAAUCUUUGAACGCACCUUGCGCUCCCUGGUAUUCCGGGGAGCAUGCCUGUUUGAGUGUCAUUAAAUUCUCAACCCCGAUCGGAUUUGUUUUCGCAUUCGGAGGCUUGGAUUGUGGAGCGUGCUGGCCCCCUCUCAUGGGUCGGCUCCUCUUAAACGCAUUCGCGGAAUCGACUUUGGUCCGUUUCGGUCAUCAGUGUGAUAAACAUUGCGCUGUUGGCUAGGAUCGAGGUGCCGCAUACAAUCGUCUUCGGACAACUUUAUGACCAUUUGGCCUCAAAUCAGGUAGGACUACCCGCUGAACUUAAGCAUAUCAAUAAGCGGAGGAAAAGAAACUAACAAGGAUUCCCCUAGUAACUGCGAGUGAAGCGGGAAAAGCUCAAAUUUAAAAUCUGGCUGCCUCCGGUGGUCCGAGUUGUAAUCUGGAGAAGCGUUUUCCGCGUCGGACCGUGUACAAGUCUUCUGGAACGGAGCGUCAUAGAGGGUGAGAAUCCCGUCUCUGACACGGACUACCGAUGCUUUUGUGAUGCGCUCUCGAAGAGUCGAGUUGUUUGGGAAUGCAGCUCAAAAUGGGAGGUAAAUUCCUUCUAAAGCUAAAUAUUGG